CAGCGCUCCCUGCCCAACUCACAGUUACGCUGCCGAAUACUGCCAUGUUGGCAGAAUAAAUAUAGCGGUUUUCAGGACUUCAGCCUGGAAGAACACCCAGCAAUCCAAAAGGUUUUCAACAUCUCGGGUUCCUGUGAGCCUGAAGACGUGGGCUGGAAGACCCCAGGGAUCAGCUGUCAAAGAGGCUCUGACUGUUCUGGCUUUGUGCGCUCUGCACACGGAGAAGGCAGCAACUCUACAUUCAGGCCCCAGCCAAAAGAAAGUGGAGCAAAUGGGAGAGAAAAGGAAUAAAACUGUUCUUGAGCUGCAGCAGUCACUUUAAGUCUCAGAAAAGUUUCAUUCUGCAUUUUGAGCAGAGUUGCUGACAAUAAUUUCAUGCAAGCUGCUUCCACCCACGUUAGCUUUACUGGCUUUGGAUUAGUUCAGUGCCUGUAGGUAUGGCAAGAAAGCCUCACUCUGUUUGAUUAGCCUUCUAUCUCAACUUUAUCUUCUUAGAGUUUUGCAAAGCUGAUAAAAAUACAGAAGUUCACACAGAACAAUUUAUUUGGAUUUCGCCCAAGCCUUUGAUAAAUUUGUGUAUCAUGAGCUUCUGUAUCAGCUAAAGUAGCUCAUUUUUGAACAAUAGGAUAAGAAGUUCUCCAAAUGUAUUUUACACCUUGGAGAAGGGCUGCAGUAAGUUAAACCUUAUACCCUGCAGAUCUAUAAAUUUCUCAGCCUUUCUUUGAACGAACACCUUCUCCGCAUUACACAAUGACUUAUUUUCCGUGCUUUUGAUCCUACAUAUGAUCUCCACUGUUCUUGUUUUGCUGAAGCUGUACUCAGAUCCCCACCUGUAGGCUGUUUAUUACACUGAGCGGCUGUAGUUUCUGUAAUGCAAGAGCUAGAAUGAACUUCCUAAUAUGAAUUGAAUUCAACCCCUGUUUAUUCCUCCUUCCAAAUUCUAAUUGCAGCACAUUUCCUGUCAUUGGAGCCUUGUCUUGGACAGAAUUUUGUACUGCAGUGUAUGAACUAUGCAAAUGUCUUUUUUUUUUUUCCUGCUUUUUUUUUUUCUUGACAGCAUAGUUGAACACUUUCCCCGUGUAAGUUUGAGUUACUGCACUCUCCAUGAGGACUGACGCUCUCCAGUCAUGUGCUUUUCCUUCAUUUUGGUUUUCUGAAUCUCUGAAGAGUUUAAACUACCUUGAGCAACAACCAGAACCAUACAUCCAUUUGCAUUCGCAAGUCUUUCCCUGAGGUUUUUUUCCUACCAGCUGCCAAGCAUUAAAUGGCUUUACUUGUAGGUAAUUUUAAAAGUUAAUUUGUUUUUUAGAGAAAUUACACUAUCCCGCUUUUUUGCUCUCCUUUCUUGCUAGAGAUUUGCUAUCUGAAUACCCAAAUAAAAGCUGCAUUUGGUUUUGGGGGGGAGAAGAG
rnacentral:lncRNA from 1 species